rnacentral:rRNA from 1 species
UACGUAGGGUGCGAGCGUUAAUCGGAAUUACUGGGCGUAAAGGGUGCGUAGGCGGUUCGUUAAGUCUGUCGUGAAAUCCCCGGGCUCAACCUGGGAACUGCGUUUGAAACUACAAGGCUAGAGUGUAGCAGAGGGGGGUGGAAUUCCACGUGUAGCAGUGAAAUGCGUAGAUAUGCGGAGGAACACCGAUGGCGAAGGCAAUCCCCUGGGCCUGCACUGACGCUCAUGCACGAAAGCGUGGGGAGCAAACAGG